rnacentral:rRNA from 1 species
GGAGUUAGCCGGUGCUUCUUCUGUGAGUGAUGUCCUUCCUGCCGGCUAUUAACCCGCAGGCCUUCUUCCUCACUGAAAGUGCUUUACAACCCGAAGGCCUUCUUCACACACGCGGCAUGGCUGGAUCAGGGUUGCCCCCAUUGUCCAAUAUUCCCCACUGCUGCCUCCCGUAGGAGUCUGGGCCGUGUCUCAGUCCCAGUGUGGCUGAUCAUCCUCUCAGACCAGCUACGGAUCGUCGCCUUGGUGAGCCGUUACCUCACCAACCAGCUAAUCCGACAUAGGCUCAUCCGAUAGCGCGAGGCCCGAAGGUCCCCCGCUUUCCCCCGUAGGGCGUAUGCGGUAUUAGCCUGGGUUUCCCCCAGGGUUAUCCCCCACUACCGGGCAGAUUCCUAUGCAUUACUCACCCGUCCGCCGCUCGCCACCAGGGAGCAAGCUCCCCGUGCUGCCGCUCGACUUGCAUGUGUUAGGCCUGCCGCCAGCGUUCAAUCUGAGCCAGGAUCAAACUCUGA